CACGUAGGGGACGAGCGUUGUCCGGAUUCAUUGGGCGUAAAGCGCGCGUAGGCGGCUCGGAAAGUCGGGCGUGAAAUGCCGGGGCUCAACCCCGGGACUGCCUUUGAUACUGAGGAUCUUGAGUUCGGGAGAGGUGAGUGGAACUGCGAGUGUAGAGGUGAAAUUCGUAGAUAUUCGCAAGAACACCAGUGGCGAAGGCGGCUCACUGGCCCGAUACUGACGCUGAGGCACGAAAGCGUGGGGAGCAAACAGG
rnacentral:rRNA from 1 species